CCGGUUGUAUGUACAUGUACUUUCUUUGGAGACACCAUUUGUCUCCCAACAAAUCGGAAAAUGAUCAAGAUAGUGACUCUGAUUGAUUCACAUAUUGUAUUGACCGUGAUGACUGUUGACAUUGCUUUUCAGUCUCCAAUAUUUAAGUGAGUCGUGCUUUGGAAAUGACAAUAACUUUUUAUUACCCAACCCUUGAGUUGUUUUGUUUUUCAUUUACCCAACCUUUUAGUUACUCAAAAUUUAGUUUACCCAACCCUUUUCUCUUCGGUGCCACCCCCCACCAUAAAUAAUGACCGGUCCCUAAUAACGGUAGUUCAUAUAGUUUUUGUCGUAAACUAUAUCUAAAAGUGUAAAAUUUAAGUAUGAUUCUUGUCACAACCACAUCAAAGGCUAAUUUCCACUCAGGAAAAUUAUCCGUGGAUUGGAACGGACAAGUAAAUUUUU